GGGUUGUGAGGUUAAGCGACUAAGCGUACACGGUGGAUGCCCUGGCAGUCAGAGGCGAUGAAGGACGUGCUAAUCUGCGAUAAGCGUCGGUAAGGUGAUAUGAACCGUUAUAACCGGCGAUUUCCGAAUGGGGAAACCCAGUGUGAUUCGUCACACUAUCAUUAACUGAAUCCAUAGGUUAAUGAGGCGAACCGGGGGAACUGAAACAUCUAAGUACCCCGAGGAAAAGAAAUCAACCGAGAUUCCCCCAGUAGCGGCGAGCGAACGGGGAGCAGCCCAGAGCCUGAAUCAGUGUGUGUGUUAGUGGAAGCGUCUGGAAAGGCGUGCGAUACAGGGUGACAGCCCCGUACACAAAAAUGCACAUACUGUGAGCUCGAUGAGUAGGGCGGGACACGUGGUAUCCUGUCUGAAUAUGGGGGGACCAUCCUCCAAGGCUAAAUACUCCUGACUGACCGAUAGUGAACCAGUACCGUGAGGGAAAGGCGAAAAGAACCCCGGCGAGGGGAGUGAAAAAGAACCUGAAACCGUGUACGUACAAGCAGUGGGAGCACGCUUAGGCGUGUGACUGCGUACCUUUUGUAUAAUGGGUCAGCGACUUAUAUUCUGUAGCAAGGUUAACCGAAUAGGGGAGCCGAAGGGAAACCGAGUCUUAACUGGGCGUUAAGUUGCAGGGUAUAGACCCGAAACCCGGUGAUCUAGCCAUGGGCAGGUUGAAGGUUGGGUAACACUAACUGGAGGACCGAACCGACUAAUGUUGAAAAAUUAGCGGAUGACUUGUGGCUGGGGGUGAAAGGCCAAUCAAACCGGGAGAUAGCUGGUUCUCCCCGAAAGCUAUUUAGGUAGCGCCUCGUGAAUUCAUCUCCGGGGGUAGAGCACUGUUUCGGCAAGGGGGUCAUCCCGACUUACCAACCCGAUGCAAACUGCGAAUACCGGAGAAUGUUAUCACGGGAGACACACGGCGGGUGCUAACGUCCGUCGUGAAGAGGGAAACAACCCAGACCGCCAGCUAAGGUCCCAAAGUCAUGGUUAAGUGGGAAACGAUGUGGGAAGGCCCAGACAGCCAGGAUGUUGGCUUAGAAGCAGCCAUCAUUUAAAGAAAGCGUAAUAGCUCACUGGUCGAGUCGGCCUGCGCGGAAGAUGUAACGGGGCUAAACCAUGCACCGAAGCUGCGGCAGCGACGCUUAUGCGUUGUUGGGUAGGGGAGCGUUCUGUAAGCCUGUGAAGGUGUGCUGUGAGGUAUGCUGGAGGUAUCAGAAGUGCGAAUGCUGACAUAAGUAACGAUAAAGCGGGUGAAAAGCCCGCUCGCCGGAAGACCAAGGGUUCCUGUCCAACGUUAAUCGGGGCAGGGUGAGUCGACCCCUAAGGCGAGGCCGAAAGGCGUAGUCGAUGGGAAACAGGUUAAUAUUCCUGUACUUGGUGUUACUGCGAAGGGGGGACGGAGAAGGCUAUGUUGGCCGGGCGACGGUUGUCCCGGUUUAAGCGUGUAGGCUGGUUUUCCAGGCAAAUCCGGAAAAUCAAGGCCGAGGCGUGAUGACGAGGCACUACGGUGCUGAAGCAACAAAUGCCCUGCUUCCAGGAAAAGCCUCUAAGCAUCAGGUAACAUCAAAUCGUACCCCAAACCGACACAGGUGGUCAGGUAGAGAAUACCAAGGCGCUUGAGAGAACUCGGGUGAAGGAACUAGGCAAAAUGGUGCCGUAACUUCGGGAGAAGGCACGCUGAUACGUAGGUGAAGCGACUUGCUCGUGGAGCUGAAAUCAGUCGAAGAUACCAGCUGGCUGCAACUGUUUAUUAAAAACACAGCACUGUGCAAACACGAAAGUGGACGUAUACGGUGUGACGCCUGCCCGGUGCCGGAAGGUUAAUUGAUGGGGUUAGCGCAAGCGAAGCUCUUGAUCGAAGCCCCGGUAAACGGCGGCCGUAACUAUAACGGUCCUAAGGUAGCGAAAUUCCUUGUCGGGUAAGUUCCGACCUGCACGAAUGGCGUAAUGAUGGCCAGGCUGUCUCCACCCGAGACUCAGUGAAAUUGAACUCGCUGUGAAGAUGCAGUGUACCCGCGGCAAGACGGAAAGACCCCGUGAACCUUUACUAUAGCUUGACACUGAACAUUGAGCCUUGAUGUGUAGGAUAGGUGGGAGGCUUUGAAGUGUGGACGCCAGUCUGCAUGGAGCCGACCUUGAAAUACCACCCUUUAAUGUUUGAUGUUCUAACGUGGACCCGUGAUCCGGGUUGCGGACAGUGUCUGGUGGGUAGUUUGACUGGGGCGGUCUCCUCCUAAAGAGUAACGGAGGAGCACGAAGGUUGGCUAAUCCUGGUCGGACAUCAGGAGGUUAGUGCAAUGGCAUAAGCCAGCUUGACUGCGAGCGUGACGGCGCGAGCAGGUGCGAAAGCAGGUCAUAGUGAUCCGGUGGUUCUGAAUGGAAGGGCCAUCGCUCAACGGAUAAAAGGUACUCCGGGGAUAACAGGCUGAUACCGCCCAAGAGUUCAUAUCGACGGCGGUGUUUGGCACCUCGAUGUCGGCUCAUCACAUCCUGGGGCUGAAGUAGGUCCCAAGGGUAUGGCUGUUCGCCAUUUAAAGUGGUACGCGAGCUGGGUUUAGAACGUCGUGAGACAGUUCGGUCCCUAUCUGCCGUGGGCGCUGGAGAACUGAGGGGGGCUGCUCCUAGUACGAGAGGACCGGAGUGGACGCAUCACUGGUGUUCGGGUUGUCAUGCCAAUGGCACUGCCCGGUAGCUAAAUGCGGAAGAGAUAAGUGCUGAAAGCAUCUAAGCACGAAACUUGCCCCGAGAUGAGUUCUCCCUGACCCUUUAAGGGUCCUGAAGGAACGUUGAAGACGACGACGUUGAUAGGCCGGGUGUGUAAGCGCAGCGAUGCGUUGAGCUAACCGGUACUAAUGAACCGUGAGGCU
rnacentral:rRNA from 1 species